rnacentral:rRNA from 1 species
CGGAGGAUCCAAGCGUUAUCCGGAAUCAUUGGGUUUAAAGGGUCCGUAGGCGGUUUAGUAAGUCAGUGGUAAAAGCCCAUCGCUCAACGGUGGAACGGCCAUUGAUACUGCUAAACUUGAAUUAUUAGGAAGUAACUAGAAUAUGUAGUGUAGCGGUGAAAUGCUUAGAGAUUACAUGGAAUACCAAUUGCGAAGGCAGGUUACUACUAAUGGAUUGACGCUGAUGGACGAAAGCGUGGGUAGCGAACAGGAUUAGAUACCCUGGUAGUCCACGCCGUAAACGAUGGAUACUAGCUGUUGGGGGCAACUUCAGUGGCUAAGCGAAAGUGAUAAGUAUCCCACCUGGGGAGUACGUUCGCAAGAAUG